AUUGAACGCUGGCGGCAGGCCUAACACAUGCAAGUCGAGCGAGCGGCGGACGGGUGAGUAAUGUCUGGGAAACUGCCUGAUGGAGGGGGAUAACUACUGGAAACGGUAGCUAAUACCGCAUACCAUCAGAUGUUCCCAGAUGGGUUUAGCUGGUAGGUGGGGUAACGGCUCACCUAGGCGACGAUCCCUAGCUGGUCUGGGAGGUUGACCAGCCACACUGGAACGGAACACCGGUCAGGACUCCAACGGGAGGCAGCGGUGGGGAAUAUUGCACAAUGGGCGAAAGCCUGAUGCAGCCAUGCCGCGUGUGUGAAGAAGGCCUUCGGGUUGUAAAGCACUUUCAGCGGGGAGGCGUUACCCGAAGAAGAAGCACCGGCUAACUCCGUGCCAGCAGCCGCGGUAAUAC
rnacentral:rRNA from 1 species